GAUUCACUUUGCUGUACACCUGAAACUAAAAAGCAUUGUAAAUCAACUAUACUCCAGUAAACAUUUAUAAAGAAAGAAAAAUUUUCCUUUGUACAUGGCCUAUACAAUUAAAAUGAAAUAAAAUAAAGGCACUCCUCUAGGUCAUAAGCGCCUUUAUGUAAGUUAUAUUUCAUCUUUCUGAGGCACCAUGAAUAGCUUGACUGGCCCUUGUUUGAAGGGUUGGGCUCUUUUAGGAGCUGACAGGAUCCACAUUCACUCUAGGAAACAUGGAGCUCCCUCAGCACGUGUCUGUGCCCAGAUGGGAACAAGCACAGGCCUUCUCACAUACAUUACUGUCACCUCUGUUGCUUGUUUUACACAUCUGUGGUGUUGGAGAAGACUCUUGAGAAUCCCUUGGACUGCAAGGAGAUCAAAACGGUCAAUUCUAAAGGAAAUCAACCCUGGAUAUUCAUUGGAAGGACUGAUGCUGAAGCUAAAGCUCUAAAACUUUGGCCACCUGAUGCGAAGAGCUGACCUAUUGGAAAAGACCCCGAUUCUGGGAAAGAUCGAAGGCAGGAGGACAAGGGGGCAGCAGAGAAUGAGAUGGUUGGAUGGUAUCACCAACGCAAUGGACAUGAGUUUGAGCAAACUCCUGGAGAUGGUGAAGGACUGGGAAGCCUGGCUUGCUGCAGCCCAUGGGGUCACAAAAGAGCUGGACAUGACUGAGCGAGUGAACAGCAACAGCAUACUCGGAAGCACUGAGGUCUGAACACGCAGAAGCAGUUCAGUCAUAGCUAUACUUCAUGUAGAUUCCAUACAGUCACUCAGUGCUAAAAAUGAUAAAAUCAUAAUUGUUGUUUAGAAUAUUCUUUCCAUUCUUAGAAUCAGAACUAGUGGUGUUUUAGGCUAAAAUGAUAAGAUUACCCUCUAGACCAUCUCGCCAAGGGUUAUCUUUCCAGUGAGAGAGAUUUCCUAAAAUGGUUUUAUAUACAUUCAUGGUAACUCUUUCCAGUACUUAAAACUUCACUACCAGGAAACUGGUGGCAGAAUUAUAAUGUCCCUUCCCCGCCACCCCGUCAACUCUGCCACCCUUAUGCAAUUUGGCAGCCCUGUGAAGCACUUAAGCAAGUUUAGUGCCUUCAGUCUGACACUUCAAAAGUGGCCAUCGACUAGCAAUUCUUGGCUUAAAGCUACAGAUGCAACUGUGAGCCUAUCAGUGUAUGACAAAGAGCCUUUUUCCCCUAAAUUGGGGUUCAGUGGAAUCAUUAAACACAAAUACGUUGUGUAGAUGUAUGC
ensembl:lncRNA